rnacentral:rRNA from 1 species
GAUGAACGCUGGCGGCGUGCUUAACACAUGCAAGUCGAACGGAAAGGCCCUGCUUUUGUUGGGUUCUCGAGUGGCGAGCGGGUGUGUAACACGUGUGUAACCCGCCCUUGUCUGUGUGAUAACUUCAGGAAACUGGGGCUAAUACCGGAUAUGAGCUCCUGCCGCAUGGUGUGGGUUGGAAAGUUUCGGCGGUUGGGGAUGGACUCGCGGCUUAUCAGCUUGUUUGUGGGGUUGUGGCUUACCAAGGCUUUGACGGGUAGCCGGCAUGAGAGGGUGACCGGCCACAUUGGGACUGAGAGACGGCCCAGAAUCCUACGGGAGGCAGCAGUGGGGAAUAUUGCACAAUGGGGGGAAGCGUGAUGCAGCAACGCCGCGUGCGGGAUGACGGCCUUCGGGUUGUAAACCGCUUUCGACUGAGACGAAGCGUGAGUGACGGUACUGGGUAAAGAAGCACCGGCUAACUACGUG